AGAGUUUGAUCAUGGCUCAGGACGAACGCUGGCGGCGUGCCUAAUACAUGCAAGUCGAGCGGACAGAAGGGAGCUUGCUCCCGGAAAGUCAGCGGCGGACGGGUGAGUAACACGUAGGUAACCUGCCCCUUAGACUGGGAUAACUCCGGGAAACCGGAGCUAAUACGGGAUAAUAAAGAGAAUCACCUGAUUCUCUUUUGAAAGACGGUUUCGGCUGUCACUAAGGGAUGGGCCUGCGGCGCAUUAGCUAGUUGGUAAGGUAACGGCUUACCAAGGCGACGAUGCGUAGCCGACCUGAGAGGGUGAUCGGCCACACUGGGACUGAGACACGGCCCAGACUCCUACGGGAGGCAGCAGUAGGGAAUCUUCCGCAAUGGACGAAAGUCUGACGGAGCAACGCCGCGUGAGUGAGGAAGGCCUUGGGGUCGUAAAGCUCUGUUGGUGAGGGGAGGACCAAGUACCGGCGUAACUACCGGUACCUUGACGGUACCUCACCAGAAGGCUACGGCUAACUACGGGAGUGGAGGGGGGGUAAUACGUAGGUGGCAAGGGUUUAUCCGGAAUUAUUGGGGGUAAAGUGAGCGCAGGAAGUUUCUUAAGGCUGAUGGGAAAUAGAUCCAUGUAGUCCGAGUGGGCAUUUGAAACCUGGGAGGCUUGGGUCAGAAGAGGAUAGAUGUAAUUCCACGCAUGGGGGUGAAAUCAGAGAAAUGUGAGGACCCCCACUUGAGAAGGGGCGCUCUUUGCUUUAACGAACAGGGAGUCGGGGGAGGGGUGCGACCACAAGCAGUGGAGCAUGUGGUUUAAUUCGAAGCAACGCGAAGAAACCUUACCAGGUCUUGACAUCCUUUAUACACUCUGGAUACAGUGUCUACCCUUCGGGGGCCAAAGUGACAGGUGGUGCAUGGUUGUCGUCAGCUCGUGUCGUGAGAUGUUGGGUUAAGUCCCGCAACGAGCGCAACCCUUGAUCUUAGUUGCCAGCAUUUAGUUGGGCACUCUAAGGUGACUGCCGGUGACAAACCGUAACUAAGGUGGGCACUUCGUCAAAUCAUCAUGCCCCUUAUGACCUGGGCUACACACGUGCUACAAUGGAUGGUACAAAGGGCAGCGAAACCGCGAGGUGGAGCCAAUCCCAUAAAGCCAUUCUCAGUUCGGAUUGUAGGCUGCAACUCGCCUACAUGAAGCCGGAAUUGCUAGUAAUCGCGGAUCAGCAUGCCNCGGUGAAUACGUUCCCGGGUCUUGUACACACCGCCCGUCACACCACGAGAGUUUGUAACACCCGAAGUCGGUGAGGUAACCUUUUGGAGCCAGCCGCCUAAGGUGGGACAAAUGAUUGGGGUGAAGUCGUAACAAGGUAGCC
rnacentral:rRNA from 1 species